rnacentral:rRNA from 1 species
UAACAGGAUUUUGAUACCCUGGUAGUCCACGCCGUAAACGAUGAGUGCUAAGUGUUAGGGGGUUUCCGCCCCUUAGUGCUGCAGCUAACGCAUUAAGCACUCCGCCUGGGGAGUACGGUCGCAAGACUGAAACUCAAAGGAAUUGACGGGGGCCCGCACAAGCGGUGGAGCAUGUGGUUUAAUUCGAAGCAACGCGAAGAACCUUACCAGGUCUUGACAUCCUCUGACACCCCUAGAGAUAGGGCUUCCCCUUCGGGGGCAGAGUGACAGGUGGUGCAUGGUUGUCGUCAGCUCGUGUCGUGAGAUGUUGGGUUAAGUCCCGCAACGAGCGCAACCCUUGAUCUUAGUUGCCAGCAUUCAGUUGGGCACUCUAAGGUGACUGCCGGUGACAAACCGGAGGAAGGUGGGGGAUGACGUA